rnacentral:rRNA from 1 species
GACGAACGCUGGCGGCGUGCUUAACACAUGCAAGUCGAACGGAAAGGCCCUGCUUUUGUGGGGUGCUCGAGUGGCGAACGGGUGAGUAACACGUGAGUAACCUGCCCUUGACUUUGGGAUAACUUCAGGAAACUGGGGCUAAUACCGGAUAGGAGCUCCUGCUGCAUGGUGGGGUUUGGAAAGUUUCGUCGGUUGGGGAUGGACUCGCGGCUUAUCAGCUUGUUGGUGGGGUAGUGGCUUACCAAGGCUUUGACGGGUAGCCGGCCUGAGAGGGUGACCGGCCACAUUGGGACUGAGAUACGGCCCAGACUCCUACGGGAGGCAGCAGUGGGGAAUAUUGCACAAUGGGCGGAAGCCUGAUGCAGCAACGCCGCGUGCGGGAUGACGGCCUUCGGGUUGUAAACCGCUUUAGCCUGUGACGAAGCGUGAGUGACGGUAAUGGGUAAAGAAGCACCGGCUAACUACGUG